AUGGACAAUCGAAUCCAUGGAGGAUGCUCGCCACCGCGUCUCGCCCUCCGCGUCGCCUCCGUCCUCCUCUUCCUGUGCGUAGCCGUGACCCCGGCGGCGAGCCAUGGCCCCCAUGGCAAUGACACCGGCCUGCACAAGAACUUCCUCGUCAUCGUGCGCAGCCCGUACGAGUACGACACGAAGCUGUACAAGAACACGUCGAGCUGGCACGCGUCGCUCCUGGCCGAGGUGUGCGACAUGGCCAAGGAAGCGAUGGAGAAUGACCCCUCCUCCGUGACCCGGCUCCUAUACUCGUACCGCAACGUCGUCAAUGGCUUCUCCGCCCGUCUGACGGUGGAGGAGCUGGAGGAGAUGAAAAAGAAGGACUGGUUUUACAAGGCCUAUCCUGAGAAGACGUACCACCUCAUGACCACGCACACGCCCAAGAUGCUGGGGCUCAUGGGCGAGGACCGCGCCGGGGAAGGCGUGUGGAACACCAGCAACAUGGGCGAGGGCAUCAUCAUCGGGGUCCUCGACGACGGCAUCUACGCCGGCCACCCGUCGUUCGACGGCGAGGGAAUGAAGCCGCCGCCCAAGAAGUGGACUGGCCGCUGCGACUUCAACAACACGGUGUGCAACAACAAGCUCAUCGGCGCGCGGUCCUUCUUCGAGUCGGCCAAGUGGAAGUGGAAGGGCAUCGACGACCCGGUGCUCCCGAUCAACGAGGGCCAGCACGGGACGCACACGUCCAGCACCGCCGCCGGCGCGUUCGUGCCCGACGCCAACAUAUCCGGCCUCGCGGUGGGCACGGCGGUCGGCAUGGCGCCCCGCGCGCACAUCGCCUUCUACCAGGUGUGCUUCGAGACGAAGGGCUGCGACCGGGAUGACAUACUGGCGGCGGUCGACGAUGCCAUCGAGGACGGCGUCGACGUGCUCUCUAUGUCUCUUGGCGGGAACCCGGACGCUGACUUCUCGGAGGACCCCGUCUCGCUCGGAGGAUACACCGCUGCCCUCAACGGCGUGUUCGUCAGCACGGCGGCUGGCAACAUCGGCCCCAACCCGGCAACCGUCGCCAACGGGGCACCGUGGCUUCUCACCGUGGGGGCGAGCACCACCGACAGGCGGUUCGCGGCCACCGUGAAGCUUGGCAGUGGAGAUGAACUUGACGGCGAGUCGCUCAGCGAAGUCAAGGACUACGGGAAGGAGCUGCGGCCGUUGGCGCGCGACGUGGGCGACGGUAAGUGCACCAGCGACACCGUGUUGAGCGCGGAGAACGUCACCGGGAAGAUCGUCAUUUGCGAGGCUGGCGGCACCCCUAGCACCGCCAAGGCCAAAAUGGUCGAAAAGGCCGGCGGGUUCGGCAUGAUCGUCGUCACCCCUGAGGUGUUCGGCCCGGUGAUCAUCCCAAGGCCCCACGUCAUCCCGACGGUGCAAGUGCCCAACAAAGUCGGGCAGAAGCUCAAGGCCUACCUGCAGUCCGAGAAAGAAGCCACGGCGAACUUCAUCUUGAAAGGAACGUCGUUCGACACCCCGCGGUCGCCGAUGAUGGCGCCGUUCUCGGCGCGGGGGCCGAACCUGCAAAGCCGGGGGAUUCUAAAGCCUGACAUCAUCGGCCCGGGAGUGAACAUACUCGCGGGCGUCCCCGGCAUCGCGGACUUGGUGUUGCCGCCCAAAGCAGAGAUGCCCAAGUUCGACGUCAAGUCCGGCACGUCCAUGUCGUGCCCGCACCUCGCCGGGGUCGCCGCGCUAAUGAAGAACGCGCACCCGACGUGGUCGCCCGCCGCCAUCAAGUCGGCGCUGAUGACGACCACGGAAACCACCGAUAACGAGAAGAAACCGUUCCUCGACGUGGACGGCACGCAGGCGACGUACUUCGCCACGGGCGCCGGGCACGUGAACCCGAAGAAAGCCAUGGACCCGGGGCUCGUGUACAACCUGUCGGCGUCGGACUACGUCCCGUACCUGUGCGGGCUCAACUACACGGACCAGCAGGUGAACUCGAUCAUCCACCCGGAGCCGGCGGUGGACUGCACCAAGAUAACAAAGAUCGCCGAGAAGGACCUCAACUACCCGUCAAUCACCAUCAUCGUCGACAAGGCGGACACCGUCGUGAACGCCACCCGCGCGGUGACAAACGUCGGCAUGGCAAGCUCGGCGUACGAGAUGGAGGUUGAGGCGCCGAAAUCGGUGACGGUGGAAGUGACGCCGACGAAGCUGGAGUUCAAGGAGCUGGACGAGGUCUUGAACUACACGGUCUCCGUCAAGGCCAAGGCCGUGCCGGAAGGCGCCAUCGAAGGGCAGCUCAAGUGGGUCUCCAGCAAGCACAUCGUGCGAAGCCCGAUCCUCAUAUUGCCCGGCAACGGGGAGGAGGAGGCCACGUCGGGAGCUGAGGGGCCUUCAGCUCAUGUUAGUUCUUUGCUCGAGUGA
rnacentral:rRNA from 1 species